GACGAACGCUGGCGGCGUGCUUAACACAUGCAAGUCGAACGGAAAGGCCCUGCUUUUGUGGGGUGCUCGAGUGGCGAACGGGUGAGUAACACGUGAGUAACCUGCCCUUGACUUUGGGAUAACUUCAGGAAACUGGGGCUAAUACCGGAUAGGAGCUCCUGCUGCAUGGUGGGGGUUGGAAAGUUUCGGCGGUUGGGGAUGGACUCGCGGCUUAUCAGCUUGUUGGCGGGGUAGUGGCUUACCAAGGCUUCGACGGGUAGCCGGCCUGAGAGGGUGACCAGCCACAUUGGGACUGAGAUACGGCCCAGACUCCUACGGGAGGCAGCAGUGGGGAAUAUUGCACAAUGGGCGGAAGCCUGAUGCAGCAACGCCGCGUGCGGGAUGACGGCCUUCGGGUUGUAAACCGCUUUCGCCUGUGACGAAGCGUGAGUGACGGUAAUGGGUAAAGAAGCACCGGCUAACUACGUGCCAGCAGCCGCGGUGAUACGUAGGGUGCGAGCGUUGUCCGGAUUUAUUGGGCGUAAAGGGCUCGUAGGUGGUUGAUCGCGUCGGAAGUGUAAUCUUGGGGCUUAACCCUGAGCGUGCUUUCGAUACGGGUUGACUUGAGGAAGGUAGGGGAGAAUGGAAUCCCUGGUGGAGCGGUGGAAUGCGCAGAUAUCAGGAGGAACACCAGUGGCGAAAGCGGUUCUCUGGGCCUUUCCUGACGCUGAGGAGCGAAAGCGUGGGGAGCGAACAGGCUUAGAUACCCUGGUAGUCCACGCUGUAAACGGUGGGUACUAGGUGUGGGGUCCAUUCCACGGGUUCCGUGCCGUAGCUAACGCUUUAAGUACCCCGCCUGGGGAGUACGGCCGCAAGGCUAAAACUCAAAGGAAUUGACGGGGCCCCGCACAAGCGGCGGAGCAUGCGGAUUAAUUCGAUGCAACGCGUAGAACCUUACCUGGGUUUGACAUGGAUCGGGAGUGCUCAGAGAUGGGUGUGCCUCUUUUGGGGUCGGUUCACAGGUGGUGCAUGCCUGUCGUCAGCUCGUGUCGUGAGAUGUUGGGUUAAGUCCCGCAACGAGCGCAACCCUUGUUCACUGUUGCCAGCACGUUAUGGUGGGGACUCAGUGGAGACCGCCGGGGUCAACUCGGAGGAAGGUGGGGAUGACGUCAAGUCAUCAUGCCCCUUAUGUCCAGGGCUUCACGCAUGCUACAAUGGCUGGUACAGAGAGUGGCGAGCCUGUGAGGGUGAGCGAAUCCCGGAAAGCCGGUCUCAGUUCGGAUUGGGGUCUGCAACUCGACCUCAUGAAGUCGGAGUCGCUAGUAAUCGCAGAUCAGCAACGCUGCGGUGAAUACGUUCCCGGG
rnacentral:rRNA from 1 species